AUGAACCGCUCCUGUGGCUUAGUGGUUAGAGCGUCCGCCUCAGCAGCGGGAGGUUGUGGGUUCUAUCCCCGGUCGAGUCAUA